rnacentral:misc_RNA from 1 species
CUUAGUUGAGUUGAGUUUAUGUUGUUAAUUUUCUUGAAAUUGCUCAAGUUUUUUCAUUAUCUAGUUGAAUUUUUAACAAGUAAUAUUUUUAAUUAGCAGGAGAACAAUAAGAAAAAACAGAUGAGAAUAAAAAAGAAAAUAGAGUAGAAUUAGAACAAGGAGAAGAGGACAGAAUAAUCAAAAACAGAGGAGAAACAAUGCCAAAAGGAGAAGAAGAAAGAAUGAGGACAAGGAAAAAAAUACGGACAAUUAGAAGAAGAAGAAGAAGAAG